GAUGUAUCGCACUUGUAAACGUGGUGUUGGGAUCAUUUUACCGGCUAUAGUUGAAAAGCGAACGUUAAUUUAAUUUCUUAAAAGUUUAUUGGAGAAAGGUUCACUUUGUGUAACAGACUUUCUUGUGGAUACCACAGGUUUUGUUGACAGUUCUACCCAGACAAGUGAAGUCAUCUACAACCUGUAACAGAAUGAUAACAGAUGUUCAACUAGCCAUAUUCUCCAAUAUCCUUGGAGUUUGUCUGUUUCUGUUGGUGGUGUUGUAUCACUAUGUUGCUGUCAAUAAUCCAAAGCAUGGAAUUUGAAAGGUAUCUUGUACCAGACAUGCUUGAAGAUGAAGAAUAUGCCACUAACUCAAAGUGAUGACAGUUUUAAUACCAAACACUAUCGUUCUAGGUGUGAUUAUACCAGUUGUAAAUAAGAUUGUUAAUUAAAACAUUGUCAGUACCA